CAGAGUCUCACUCUUGUCACCCAGGCUGGAGUAUAGUGGCGCAAUCUCGGCUCACUGCAACCUCCACCUCCCGAGUUGAAGCAAUUCUACUGCCUCAGCCUCCUGAGUAGCUGGGAUUACAGAUGCCCGCCACCACGCCCAGCUAAUUUUUGUACUUUUAGUAGAGACGGGGUUUCGCCAUAUUGGCCAGGCUGGUCUCGAACUCCUGAUCUCAGGUAAUCCGCCUACCUCGGCCUCCCAAAGUGCUGGGAUUACAGGCAUGAGCCACCGUGCCCGACCGAUUUAUUCAUUUUUAAUUGAGUCUGAAAAAUGUCAUUGAAAAUAGUUUCAUUGGCAUGGGUGAGAAAUAAGAAAAUCCUGGCUUCAAAUAAUUCAGUUUUGAGAAUGUACAAACUUGACACAAUGAAAUGGUAAUUUAUGAAAUUAAAGCUGCACCUCUCUGGAAUAGUGAUGUUCAAAGAUGCUUAAUGAUUGGAGGGUACUUGAGGGCUGAGGAAUUUUUGAUGCUUCGUGACCGCAGGAACAAUAUUUUUCUUAUUACUCCGUCACCUGGCACAAAAUCAGCACUCAAUAUACAUUUGCUGAAAGAAUGAAUGAUUCAUUUUUUAUUUUGUAGUACUUUAGAGCCUACUUCUCUAGAGCCUAUAUUUAUUUAUGCAUUGAAUACUUAUUAAAUGCCUACUUUAUGCUAGGUAUUCUCCUGGGUCAUGAGUAUAGAAAAAAAUGAAUAAAAUUUGAUACAUGCCCCCAAAGAAAUUUCAGUCUGCUAUUCGCAAUGCUUUGAUCUAUAGAUUGAGGCUAUUUGUCUGCAGACUUUUUUCAGCUCAUUCCUGGUAGAAUUGAAAACAACUUUUUUCUUUAUUUUUAAAAAUUUGAAUAACUAGUCUUCAUAACAUUUCUCCUCACAAUAGUCCAUUUCUACAAAAUCUUUACAAGCCUUGAAUUUUGAGAAACACCAAUGUUUGUGUGAACUUGCUGAAUUAGAUUCACCCACAGCUGCCUUCCUUCCCUCCCCUACUUCUUCUUUCCUUUUACAUUGACUAUCCUCUAAAUAUGAAUUGUGUGGCAAUCCUUCCAAUGUGAUUAUCAUGACGUUAUCGAGUAUUGGGCGAGGGGUAGGGGCUAUUAUUCUGUUUAUCAUAGACCUACCUGGGCUCUUAAAAAAUAAGUUCUUUAUUUCUUUCCAGUUGAAAUGGAUUCUGACUCUCCAAAUCUUGGCCCAAAUACUGAGCUGAUCUUUCCUGCCCUAAUUCCAGUAGAAUGGCACCUGACACAAUACUUUUGUGGAAGAGUACAUCACAUGAGAAACUAGAGGAAAGCUUUACAACAUUCUAUCUGGAAUAGAAGGUGUGGGUUGCAAUCAUUGAGAAAUGAAAACUAUAGAGAUGAACUAGAGAGACAAUGGAAUACUGUCCUUUGGCUGAGUCCUGCUGAAACCUGGUGGUGACACACAGAAGCAGGGUGAAUAUUCAAGAAAUACUGUUAAAUCACAAACUACUCAGAUGCAAACACAAGAGUGCAUGCUGGAACUGGCUUAUGAAACACAAGCCAGCUGGCUGCCCUAGAAAAAGUCUGAGGAAAAAGCCUUCUUCAUCUAAUUCAUAAAUGGGAAAUUGAAUUUCCAGGCUUAGCUGGCUUAUUUUUAUCUUCUUUUGUUUGUUUGAACUAUGUAUUGCUGAAUAACUGUGACAACAUUGAAAAGAGGGUUCAUGAGUAAAGCAAGAGUUGAUCUUUCACAAAUCAGUGCUAUAAUCAUUUCUAUGGGAGAGGCUACAGAUGAUUCCAUGCAGGGAGCACUCUGUAUGAAUGAUGUGGCCUCAGGCUAGAACACUUGAAAAGCAGCAAAGGAAAACUUUCUGCCCAACUUAUUAGAGGGGUGUGUGUGUGUGUGUGUGUGUGUAUCUCACAUGAAUAUAUUAUACAUAUGUAUAUAUAACAUAUAUAUAUAUACACACACACACCACUGGUGUUUAUUUUCACAUGCUUUUUUAUUUUUAUUUUAUUUUAUUUUUAAAAUAGAGACAGUGUCUUUCUCCGUCACCCAGGCUGGAAUGCAGUGAUGUAAUCAUGGCUCACUGAAGCCUCGAACUUGAACUCCUGGGCUCAAACGAUCCUCCUGCCUUAGCCUCUUGAGUAGCUAGGACUAUAGCCACAUCCUACUAGGUCCAACUAAUUUUAAUUAUUUUUUGUGUGUGGAGAUGGUGGGGGCGGGGUGUCUCUCUAUGUUUCCCAGGCUGGUCUUGAACUCCUGGCCUCCAGCAAUCCUUCUGCCUUGAGCUCCCAAAGUGCUGGGAUCAUAGGCAUGAGCCACCGUACCCAGCCUAGUUUCACACUUUUAUACACUCUCCCAAGUAUCACAGGGCUGGAAGCACUUUGAUUUUGGUGUAUUGGGUAUAAUUUAUGUUCUGUCAAUGAAAUGCAAUCAUGCAAUAUUCCAAAGGCAGAAUAGAGGCUCAGAGAACCCAUAUGUUAAAAAAAAUUAUUCCUUUGACAGAUAAAUAACACUUUUUCUAAUUUAUUGAUUUUGUAAAUUUGGAAUUGUGAAGAAUCUCCCCUCCCCCAAGAAAAACCUGUUUGUUCAGCAUUCCUUGCAAUGAUUGAAUCCUUUACCAGACAAACAAGAUGAAUGAAUUAUCUUUUCUUCUUUUCCUUUGGCUUACUUUUUCUGUGACAUUGUUUGAGAGACUGAGCACAGUAUUUUGAAACAGAUGACAGGGUUGUCACCUUUGAGUGGCACAAAUUUAGUAGCAACAGUAGGGCGUUUUAUGACAAUUUCUUUACAGUAUGAAAUCCAAAAGUUAUUCUCUGUGCCUUCAUGAGGAAAUGACAUUGAGUGGCAAUAUUUAAGAUGGUGAUUGGGAGGAAAGGCGAGUGUGAGAAGGGCAGCCUAAUUUUCAUGAAAUGAAACAGCCCUAGACUUGCAAAAUGAUAAUCGUAUUACUGAACAAUGUGAUGAUUCUCUCACAUGAAUUGUUCACUUCCAGGAGGCAUUCAAUCAGGCAAGCUAUCAAGAAGAUCUGGCCUUUGAUAAACACAUCCACUUUAAUAGCAGUUCCCGAGAUGAAAUGUUUGGAUUUAUGGCACCCAAUCACUGCAGCUUGAAAAUAUGAAAUAACUUGCUAGUGAACUGCCAUGAAAACCAUUACAUUAUGCUAGGGUCUUCCUUUUAGUAAGAUAUGGGAUGUUAUUAAUUGAUUAAUCUCCCUCCCUAUUCUUAAAAAUGAUUUAAGGAGGGUGGCCAUUUGCUACGAUGGAAAAGUACGGCUUCCUGGUCUGAUAUAAAAUGAGAAAUUGCCCAAGAUGAGCUCUAAGAUGUCUUCUACAUAACAUCUUCUAUGAUACAAUUUUUGGGAGUCUGUCCUUCAAAACUUCAUUACAAGGGGUCAUAUUAAGAUGAACUCUUAAUAAUAAGCCUCCUUAUGUGGGGCUCACAGAGACCUAGAUUCGUCCUAGAAUCCACUGGGAUUUGAACUGUCAUGAUUCUGAAGCUUACAUGGAUCCACAGAGUUGAUGUCAACUUAAUUCCUUGGAAAAUUAGGAGACAAAGAUUUGUUCUCUGUUCUUAUUCCUAACUUGGUGAGUUCCACUAAUGGUUGCUACCUUUCAGAGGCACAGACUUUGUAAUAACAGGGGAUGGCGCAUUACAAUUUCUAUGUUACACAAAUUCUAAAAUUAAGUUUAGUGAUUGGGAGGGAAGGUGAUUGAGAAAAGUAUACUUUUCAACUAAUGAAACAACAUUUAACUUCUGAGAAGGUACUUGUUGUAUUACUUAGCAAUGUGGAGUUUCAUCCCAGGCUGAAUAGAUUUCAAGGCAAACGGUGUCAGUUAUAAUAAUGCUGAGAAUUUUUUCUGGCCAAUGUUAUAUAAGAAAAGGUUUUAUUAAAGAAAGUUUAAGCAGCAUGAUUCAUAACAGCCAAAAAGCGGAAGCAACCCAAGUGUCCACAGCCAGAUCAAUGAAUAAACAAAAUGUGUUAUAUCCAUAAGAUGAAAUAUUUUUCAGCCUUAAAAGGAAGGAAAUUCUGACACAUGUUGAAAUGCUACAACAUGAAUGAAACUUGAAGGCAUGCAAUGUGAAACCAGACACAAAAGGACAAAUACUAUAUAAUUUCAUUGAUUUGAGGUACCUAGAAUAGUGAAAUUCAUAGAGAUAGAAAGUAGAAUGGAGGUGGCCAUGGGUUUGGGGAGUGGGGAAUGGGGAGUUAUUGUUUAAAGGCUACAGAGUUGCAGUUUGGAAAGAUGAAAAAGUUCUUCCCAAAGUUUUGGGAUGGUGGAUAGUGGUGAUGAAUGUACUAAAAGCCACAAAACCACACACUUACAAAUGGUUAAAAUGGCAAAUUAUAUAUGUUACACAUAUUUCACCACAAGUAUAAUACUAAAUUUAAAAAGAACAGAAAGAGUUUAAAAUGACUUCAACUACAUCUUCAUAUUUAUUCCUUUUCCUAAUUUAAGAGGGAAAUAAUUUCAGUUCCCCAGAGUUCUGUGUUUCUGGUAUUUUAAUGUGGAAUAAAAUGUUACCAACUCGUUUUUGCUUCUAUUAAGAUCUCGCUCUUGGUAGGCCACUGGCUUUGAGAAACAUCUUGUGUCUUUGAAUUCAGAUAAAAUAGAGUUACAGCUAAUUACAUCUUGGAUUUGUUUUACAAUUACAAAUAUAGAAGGUAGAUGAAGAAAAAUUAUGUUCCAAUCUUUGAAAACUGCCAUUUGGAAGAUUGUCUACAUGAUGGUUUACAUUAAAGGUGCAAUAUUAGCAUGGCUUUUUAUUACUAAAUAUAUUUUAAAAUAUACAUUUGGGCAUUAACUUUAAGAUACUUAUAAAAUAUUUUCUUAUUUGCUAAAGCGAAUCCCUUUGAUUUAUAAUAUACUUCUUGUCCAUUUAUAAAUAUUUAAUGAAACCUUACUCUUUUUUUUGCUUUUUAUGGUGCAUAAAAUAGAUUGAUAGUGUCUCAAAAGUUUUUUUAUUUUUCCAUUUUCUGUUAUAAAAAUAAUCAUGAAUACCUUUAUGUGUCAAAAUUUCAAGCCAAUACUACUGAAGUGAGAAUAAUUUUUCUACUUUUUAAAAGAAAAGUCACAAUCGUCUGUCAAGUGUUUUAAAAUUCAGAUUCUCAUUCAAAAAUUUGCAUGAGAUUUAUUUUAAAACAGUUUUUUUUCUUCCCAAGAUGAUAGUAAAAGAUAGGAGAGAAAAGAAAGAAAAGAUGGUAAAAGAUGAUGGUAAAAGACACGGCUUGACGCACCUACACAUACGCUGAUAGACUAUAGAGCACCUUAAUUUUUUUCCCUUUUUGAUCUCCUCACCUUUUUUUUUUUUUUUUUGAGAUAGAGUCUCACUCUGUCACCCAGGCUGGAGUACAGCAGCGCGAUCUCGGCUCACUGCAACCUCCGCUUCCCGGGUUCAAGGGAUUCUUCUGCCUCAGUCUCCUGAGUAGCUGGGACUACAGGCAUGCAC
rnacentral:lncRNA from 10 species